UCCCCCUUCCUCCGUCUCAUUCCCCUCGUCCCUGGUGGCGGCACACCACUCGUAUCUUCCUCUCUCCACCAAACACGAGCUCCUCUCCCCCGCACCACUCCUCGCCGCCACCACCACCACCACCUAUGGCGCCCGAUCCCGUCCUCUAGUGGCGCCGAGCUCACCACGGUGACCCCAUCCCUCCGCUCCUUCCUCUCAUCGGGCCAGAUCGGGCGCGCGCGUCCUCCAGUGGCCAAGCGCGACCCCCGAUUCAGCAGGCCCGCCGCCCGCGCCCGCGCGCCACCACCCGCUCCUCCUCGCCUCCCAUAGGACGCAGACCCCACGCCACUCUUCCUCCGCCCACCGACCCACCCCGUCCCUGAUGCCUCACUCGCCGCCUUCCGCCGCAGGGCCGCCGCGCUCGUCCCGUCCUUGGUGCUGCACCUCCACCGCCACCUCCGCUGGCUCCUCGCCAACGCCCCCGCCUCGUGCACGAGCGUCCGGAGCACGUCGUCCACCCCGCGCAUGCGGCGCUCGACACGCUCGACGUCUUCGAUAUGGAGCAGGACAUCAAGGACCCGGAGCACCCCUACUCGCUGGAGCACAUACGAUGUGUGCUCUCCCAGGAGUGUGAGGAGGAGCCUGUGGCUGAGACUGCAUCGGGACAGAUGCUGCAACCCAUCACAGCGAAUUCCUCGGCCUCUGUUACGGCCGAUGCAGCAGUUACUCAGGACACCAUUCAUACCUCGCUUCCACUUCUACAUUUUCUUUCUCUGUUCUAGUUACUUAUGUGAUUUAUUCAUGUAGAAUCUCUACUUUAUGCCAAUAGCUGCCUGUACCAUUGUUCUACUAUCUGUGUGAUGCCGAACAACAUGCUCUUAAUCUAUUGCUAAAUUCUGUGUACUUGUGACGUAGCUGACAUGUAGAAUCUCUACUUAAUAUGCCAAUAGUUGACGUGUAUUAUGUGCCAACAUGCCAAUUGUUGCUGCUGUAUUCUGUGUACUUGUGAUGUACUCCGUAGCUGACAUGUGGAAUCUCUACUUAAUAUGCCAAUAGCUGACAUGUAGAAUCUCUAGUUAAUAUGUUCUACCAGUAUUAUGUGCUUUCUAUCCUGCAAUGCUAUCGGGGUACUGCAAUUGUUGCUGCUGUAUUCUGAUUACUUGUUGUGACUAGUAUUGAGAGAUUUUGGUGGUUGCUUUCAGUAUAUUUAACUUGGAGUUCUCCAGUACUCCUAGAUUUGCUACUCAAACAAAUUUUGAGUACUUUCAUUGGAAAGGAGUGAAAUACUCCUGGUACUUGCAUAGGUUUAAAAAUUACUUGCAUAGGUUUAAAAAUAUUGAUGGUACUUGUGAUGAAACCAACAAGCAACUUGCUAACCUCUUUCAGUGUUCAAUCAUCUUUUCAUUCUUAAAUUUUAGUGUUCAAUUUCAGAUUAUACAAACUGGUGUCUGUUGUUCUUUUUCUUUUUUGAACUAAACUAGAAGUAGGAAUUCAUUUUAUCGGGUUAGUGUUGUAAAUUGUGGAUGCUUCCUUUUUGUUAUUGGCUUAUUACUUGCUUGAUUUGGGACAUCUACAACUGAAAUUAUUAUGAUGCCAUAUUUUUUAUAUUACUCCAUGCUCACCAAGUUAUUGAGUUGAAGUUGUCGUUGUUUGCUGUCAAGAUUUGCUUAUCCUGAAUACAUGGUUAUGUUUUGUGUACUGCUGUCCUGAUGUUGAGCUGUUCAAUUUCACUGUUGUACCGCUGUCAAGAUCCUGCUGUACCGCUAUUCAGUUUCAGUUAAAUUUCAGUACUGUUGGAGUAAAUUUCGCUGUUCGAUGAUUGUACUCCAGUGUUCAAUUUUCGCUGUUCAAUGAUUGUACUCCAGUGUUUAAUUUCCUGAUUGAGUAAAUUUCAAUGUUCAAUUUCAGUAAAAGCAGUACAUGUACCAGCGGCAGCAGCUCCUGUGGCAGCGGCGGUAGCACCUGGGCAGGCGUGGAACAGCCUGGGCUUGGAAUGGCCUGAGCGCGGGCCAGGAGGAGCCCCUGCGUGUGGGCGGCAGCAGAGCACGCCUGGGCGGAGGCGGCGCCUACUCUACUUGCUUGGCUACUACAGUGAUGCAUGCACCGGUGAAGCACGCACACAUGCUUGCUUGUCCGCAUGUAUCUUCAUUGCUACAAACAUCAUCUAGAUGACAAGCUACAAGCUCCCAGCGCGUCUGAUCCAGGGUGCAUUAGGGCCAACCUGUUACGGAAGAUGGCCAUGCUCACGAGCCCCUCUGGAUCAAAAUAGAUGGCAAAUUGUGGCAGCUGGAGCAUGUCUCACUAGAGAGAGCAAUGAAAUCCAUUGUAUUGUUCCGUCAAAACAAAAGUACAUUGUACUGUUAUGAUAGUAGCAGAAGUUUCGUCAUUUUCUUAUUGUAUAUUCCCUUCGUUCCUACUAUAUUCCUGUGUAAGGAAAUGUAUUCCUGAGAUGAUUUUUUGUGUUAUGUAAACUUGGGAGAUGUGUUAUGUGAUGUGAUAUGAUGGUUGACUUGAAUUUGACC